rnacentral:rRNA from 1 species
ACNUAAGCAUAUCAAUAAGCGGAGGAAAAGAAACCAACAGGGAUUGCCUCAGUAACGGCGAGUGAAGCGGCAACAGCUCAAAUUUGAAAUCUGACCCCUUCGGGGCCCGAGUUGUAAUUUGUAGAGGAUGCUUCGGGUGCGGCGCCGGUCUAAGUUCCUUGGAACAGGACGUCAUAGAGGGUGAGAAUCCCGUAUGCGACCGGCGGUCAACCCCAUGUGAAGCCCCUUCGACGAGUCGAGUUGUUUGGGAAUGCAGCUCAAAAUGGGUGGUAAAUUUCAUCUAAAGCUAAAUACCGGCCAGAGACCGAUAGCGCACAAGUAGAGUGAUCGAAAGAUGAAAAGCACUUUGGAAAGAGAGUCAAACAGUACGUGAAAUUGUUGAAAGGGAAGCGCUUGCAACCAGACCUGCCCCCGGGCGAUCAGCCGUUAUUUUUAGCGGUGCACUCGUCCGCGAUCAGGCCAGCAUCGGUUCGGGCGGCCGGAUAAAGGCCUCGGGAAUGUAGCUCCCCCCGGGGAGUCUUAUAGCCCGAGGUGCAAUGCGGCCAGCCCGGACCGAGGACCGCGCUUCGGCUAGGAUGCUGGCGUAAUGGUUGUAAGCGACCCGUCUUGAAACACGGACC